AAAAGGUCGUCAACAAGGUCUCCGUUGGUGAACCCAGCGGAGGGAUCAUUACUGAGUACUACACUCCUCUACCCUUUGUGAACUAUUAUACCUUGUUGCUUCGGCGGCGCCCGCAAGGGUGCCCGCCGGUCUCAUCAGAAUCUCUGUUUUCGAACCCGACGAUACUUCUGAGUGUCUCUAGCGAACUGUCAAAACUUUUAACAACGGAUCUCUUGGCUCCAGCAUCGAUGAAGAACGCAGCGAAACGCGAUAUGUAAUGUGAAUUGCAGAAUUCAGUGAAUCAUCGAAUCUUGGAACGCACAUGGCGCCUUCCAGUAUCCUGGGAGGCAUGCCUGUCCGAGCGUCGUUUCAACCCUCGAGCCCCUGUGGCCCGGCGUUGGGGAUCUGCCCACGGCAGGCCCCUAAAACCAGUGGCGGACCCGAAGGGCCCUCUCCUUUGCGCAGUAGCAUUCGCCUCGCAUCGGGAGUCCUCGGCGUCCUGCCUCUAAACCCCCCACAAGCCCGCUUCGGCGGCACCAAGGUUGACUCGGAUCAGGUAGGAAUACCCGCUGAACUUAA
rnacentral:rRNA from 1 species